CUGGUCUGGUCUGGUCUGGUACACUAUGAACACACACAGACAGGUCUGGUCUGGUCUGGUCUGGUACACUAUGAACACACACAGACAGGUCUGGUCUGGUCUGGUCUGGUACACUAUGAACACACAUAGACAGGUCUGGUCUGGUACACUACGAACACACAUAGACAGGUCUGGUCUGGUCUGGUCUGGUCUGGUCUGGUACACUAUGAACACACACAUAGACAGGUCUGGUCUGGUACACUAUGAACACACACAUAGACAGUCUUAUCGAUCUGCCACAAAACCCCCUGUUAGUCUAACUGGUCUGUCUGCUACACUCCACUGACACGUUGGUCCUUCCUGUUUGGCCCUGUCCGGGGGUAUCAUCGGAUGGGCCACAGGUGUCUCCUGACCCCUCCUGUCUCAGCCUCCAGUAUUUAUGCUGCAGUAGUUUAUGUGUCGAGGGGCUGGGGUCAGUCUGUUAUAUCUGGAGUAUUUCUCCUGUCUUAUCCGGUGUCCUGUGUGAAUUUAAGUAUGCUCCCUCCAAUUCUCUCUCUCUUUCUCUCUUCUCUCGGAGGACCUGAGCCCUAGGAGCAUGCCUCAGGACUACCUGGCAUGAUGACUCCUUGCUGUCCCCAGUCCACCUGGCCGUGCUGCUGCUGUACAGCACUUUGUGACAUCAGCUGAUGUACGAAGGGCUUUAUAAAUACAUUUGAUUUGGUCAGUCUGCUACUCUCUCUACUGACAAGUUGGUCAGUCUGCUACUCGCUCUACUGACAAGUUGGUCAGUCUGCUACUCUCUCUACUGACA
rnacentral:lncRNA from 13 species